rnacentral:tRNA from 1 species
CUUUUGAAAGCUUUUAGAAGCGGCGGGCUUUUAAUCCGAUGAAGGCCUCCUUUGGCCUCAAAAGA